rnacentral:lncRNA from 1 species
GAUGUGUGUAUUUUAGCUACUUAGUUUAGUGUGUGUUUCGUCGUGAUUUCAUGUGAUUUUGCAUAGUUUGCAAUGUUUUGGCGCAGGAAUGAGCAGGAUUGGAGAUGGAGCUGUUGAUGGAAAGAAUUGGAGAAAGACGAGCUUUCGAUGGAAAUUUGAAGUGAAGAUGGAAGAUAAUUAGAGAUUGGGCUUUUAAUUACUUGUUAUAUUUUUAUGAAGCCCAAAACUCUUGUUUUAUUUUAAGUUUGGAUUUAAUUAGUUGAAAGGGGCCGAAGCCCAUGAUGUUUUGAUUAGGCGGCCUAGGGCCGCAUGCAUAGAUAGAGAUAUAUAUAGUUUUAGGUUAUUUUCUUUUGUUACACAACUUUGACAGCCGCAACUUUGGAAUUAGAAUAGCUAUAGUUGACUUUAUUUUUCAUGCAACUUUUCUCUUCCAUGCAAUUCUCUCUCUACGAUUUUAGUAAUUGAUUCC